CGCGUAGGCGGCCUUCUAAGUCGAACGUGAAAUCCCUGGGCUCAACCCAGGAACUGCGUCCGAUACUGGAAGGCUUGAAUCCGGGAGAGGGAUGCGGAAUUCCAGGUGUAGCGGUGAAAUGCGUAGAUAUCUGGAGGAACACCGGUGGCGAAGGCGGCAUCCUGGACCGGUAUUGACGCUGAGGCGCGAAGCCAGGGGAGCAAACGG
rnacentral:rRNA from 1 species